UGUGAGUAUCACCCACCACGCCACCAUUCUCCCUCCUUUCCGCACUUACCCAAAGUUUCCCCCGUGUACCUAGAACCAGGAGGCUGCAGGAUGGCUGAGAGCCCUUCCUUUGGUGGCUAAAGGUGGGGCACCAGUGACUAAAGCCCUGAAGUUGACCUCCAGGCGUGCGCCCACGUUCAGCAAAUAUAGCAGCUAGAAUGAGGACGAAACGGUGGUGCGCCAGCACCAUUGCGGAUGACGUGGAUAAGAGUCUCACCCAGGGCUGGUGGGACAGAAAGCCAGAGGAGCCCAGUGAUUGUGUGAAACAAACCUAGAUGGAUAACCUCCAACUUUUACGUGAGAAGAUAAACCACGGACGUUUAAGUCACCGUUAGUUUUGGUCUUCCAUGCAUGCAGUAGGUCCCUGAGAUACAAAUCAUAUUUUUUACUUCCUGGUACCUGAACCCUCAUCCUAUGGUUGAGGAACCCCACCUUAAGAGUCAAAGCCCGCCUCCUACUGUGGAAGCUGAAAAGGCCAGGUACUUGCUCUCUCAGCCCCCGCCCGCUCCCCCUUGAAGCCAGGACUCAGAUGCAUGGCCUGGGUAUGCCUAGCUGAAGCUGGAACAGUGCCAGAUUGUUUGUGGUGGCAGAGGGCACAGUCAGGAGUGCAGGGGCAGCAGUAACGGCAGCACCCACCCAGCACCCAACUCCAGCAGUGCUGCCAAUGGGAACUGCGGUGCAGCCUGGACGGCGGUCCUAAUGGGACACCCUCAUGGAUGCCUACACUCCAGACCUGAUUUUCCCCCCAUCCAGUCAGGACAGGAAAAAGUUUCUAUCAAGACAGACAAGGACCUGCUACGUGGGAUCAAAAACCCGGAUUUAAUGGAAUUAUUUCCCUUAUUUGAUCCACUGCAUAUUAACAUAUUGAAAAUAUCUGUGCUCUAAAGUAGACUGUAUCAUGGAUGCAGUUAUUAAAAUUGUUCAGUAUACAUGUGCAAAUGCUCUGACUCAUCACCAGUUUAUGGAACUGUUAAAAGAAAUAGAAGAUAAUGAAUAUAAUGACUACAUGUUCUUUGCCAAUGUUCACUGCUUGAGUCAUGGAAGAAUUUUACAAAGGUUUACUGUACUGUUAACUCUAAUUCAAGAUUUUCUUGACACAAAAGGAACACCUGCCAAUAUUGAACAAAGAGAAAACAUCACAGCAUGAUUUACAUUUUUUCACCUAUAUCACAGUGCACAUGAAUGAGCUAAAUUUAAAGAUCCAAGGAGAGAGUAAAAGCUUGUUUGUGACCUAGCUAGACAGGUAUGAGAAUUUAUGUUAAAAUUUAAACUAUUCCUAAUGCAAAUCAAUAAUGAUUUUACACAUUUCAACACAAACAAAUAUACAGAAGAUUUUAAAUACAAUAGCAUUAUGUAAGUUGUCUGCAAAAUCUACAAGAAAAAUUGAAGAAUGCUUUGUUGAUAUGGACAAAUUUGGAGUUGAUUUUCAGUUUAUAUAAUGAUCCUUUGAAUUUGAUGUUGAUAAUACUGAGUGGUUACAAGAGUUAGUGGAUUUACUUAAAUUAGAUAGUUUUGAGACUGAUAUGCUUUUGCUUCGGACUCAAUUAUUCUAAAAAAGAUGAGUCAGUCUUGUCAAAACAGAUGCCAAGUAUUAAAGAAAAUGGGUUUUUUUGGUACUUUAUUCAUUUAUUGGAAAAUUUUUAAUAGUGUUUGGAAUCUACAUUUUUAACUGCAAUUUUUAUGACUAAAACAGAUCAAGCAUUUCUGAUGAAAAGUUAGCAUCUGAAUGGAGAUGUGCUGUACGUGUAAAAUACAUACUGGAUUUUGAAGGUUUCAUAUUAAAAAAAGAUGCAAA